GUGCAAUGAUGGGGGCAUUGGUUGGUAUAACCCUUGAAACGCUCUCAUGCUUCACAGAAGCUUUCACCAGCCUUCACAGUAGAGGUGUACUUGGAUC